UACGUAGGGUGCGAGCGUUGUCCGGAAUUAUUGGGCGUAAAGGGCUCGUAGGCGGUUUGUCGCGUCGGGAGUGAAAACACCGGGCUUAACUCGGUGCUUGCUUCCGAUACGGGCAGACUUGAGUACUGCAGGGGAGACUGGAAUUCCUGGUGUAGCGGUGAAAUGCGCAGAUAUCAGGAGGAACACCGGUGGCGAAGGCGGGUCUCUGGGCAGUAACUGACGCUGAGGAGCGAAAGCGUGGGUAGCAAACAGG
rnacentral:rRNA from 1 species